ensembl:lncRNA
ACCAACAAGAUCAACACAUGAAAGCAACAGAUUUUUGACAAGAUGAGAAAAUUACUCUUCCUGGUUCUUGCCAUAACAGCUUCUGUAGCUUCUGCCAGUCCACCAGUUCAGGAUGAGAAACUUCCUGAUCAAGCGGUGAAGGUGCCAGCGGAUGAAAAAGAACCAACAGCAGAGCACACAGAAGCAGAGCAAGGUCCUCUGAUGCAGCAUGAAGCUGUUGCAGAUUCAAGUAUGUUGGAGCCUGAUUCAGUGCUGCUGGAGCCAGAGACAACAGAGGAACACAGAGUACCAGAAGAGACACAAGUGAUGUUGGAGGAGCCUAUUCUAGAGGCAGAUUACCUGUCUGAAGAGAUGCCAGAGACAGAACUAGAGACUGAGCCGGAAAUAAUUGCCAUUCAGAUUAACAGAAACAUCGUACCUGUGGAGGAAUCUGUACAACUGUUAGAGUAUGAAACUAAUAUAGAGGUGGAAGAUGAAAAAGAAGAAAAUGCAGCAAAGGAGGAGCCUACACUUGAGGCUGAGUAUAUAGUGGUUGAAGAUCCAGAAAUACAAAUGGAACCUGGGAGAGAAAGAGCCCAAUAAUGCUGGCGGGAUGGAGAACUGUGUGGAGACAUGGAAUGAUCUGGCGUUCAGGGAUGUACCAUGCACAAUACCCAAACCAUUCAUCUGUUCCU